AAUAACUGUGUGUGAAGGGUGAAAGCCCCAUGUCUCUGAAGCCAGUGGGUGUUCACAAGAGGAUUAUGGGAAGAGGGACAGAAGUGCCUGGAUGUACUGUUCAGAACUGGCAGGACCGGCCUCUAAAAGGAAGACUUAAAAUGAUGUUUUUGACAUCAACACUUUCCCCAAAGUUGAUUUCCAACAGUUUACCUAUUGAUGAAGGCGAUCGUCAUCUUCCUCCCCACAGUCAUCACACCAGCAGAUCCCUUUACCCUGGAAAAGCUUCUCAUGACAGUUGCUUUCACUCUACUGCUCAGAAGACACGUCUUUCAAUGAGCUCCCCACCAGGCAUGAUGCUGAAAUCAUAUUUCCAGGGGACAGAGAUAGAUGUGGUGUACUUAUCUGAUUAAACUGCCUGUUGUUUUAAAUCUAUUUUCACAGAGACUCUUUCCUCCAGAAGACAGUCAGUGACACAACGCAUUAAAAAUUAUAUCUGUAUCAGUGGUUUCCUCUGUGGCAUUUCUGUAGUGUGUGCACGUGUGUGCGUGCACGUGUGUGUGUGUGCGUGCUAACCUCGUGUCCCCUGUUAGGAUGGAUAUGCAUGUGACAGUUAUGAAACAGUUACAGCUAAAACAAUCAAGUUUGGCUACAUAUGUUAUUUAUCUUUAUCUAUAGUGAAUACAUUUAUUGUCUUCCAAAAAUGAUUGUCUAGAACUAUGGGAAUACAAGAAAAGAUAUUUGCAGUCAGAUGUCUGGAGGUCAAAAGCCAAUGCAGUUCAUAAAGUGAGGGGGUGGGAAUUAAAGAUUCCAAACCCACAUGAAAAAUUCUUCCUAACAGAUGUUAGAGCUUUUAACUCAGAAAGUUUGUCUUUUCAAGCACGUUGUGGAGGAUCAAGGAUUUAUUUUUAUUUUUAAAAGAUUUAUUUAUUUAUUUUAGUUUUGGCUGCACUGGCUCUUCAUUGCUGUGGCUCUGGCUUUUCUCUGGUUGCAGCGAGCAGGGGCUACUCUUCCUUGGGGUGUGAGGGCUCCUCACUGCAGUGGCUUCUCUUGUUGCGGAGCACGGGUUCCAGGGUGCACUGGCUUCAGUAGCUAAGCACACAUGCUCAGCAGUUGCAGCUUCCAGGCUCAGUAGCUGUGGCUUGAGGUCUCUACAGGGCUAGCUCGGUACUUCUGGCUCCCGGCUCUAGAGCACAGGCUCAGUAGUUGUGGCUCAAGCGCUUAGUUGUUCAUGGACCAGGGAUCAAACCCAUGCCCCCUGCAUUGGCAGGCCGAUUCCUAAACACUGGACCACCAGGGAAGCCCUCAAGGAUUUAGGAUUAACACUGAUUCAUUGUCACUGAAUGUUUAUAACAUCACUUUGACUAGAGAGGUACAUGAUAUGAAGAACAGUCAAAAAUUAAUACAUUAAAU
rnacentral:lncRNA from 1 species